rnacentral:snRNA from 1 species
GAGGUUUAAUUCUAUUGCG